rnacentral:misc_RNA from 1 species
AAUUCUCAACUUCACCGAUUUGCUUCGAGUGAAGCUUUGGACUUGGAGUGUGCUGGCACCCCUUCUGGGGAGGGUCGGCUCCUCUUUAAAUGCAGCAGCGGGAGGCAUCUUUGACUUUCCGGCAUCGGUGUGAUAAUCGUGUUGCGCCGUUGGGCCGAGGUCUCAGUCCGCUUACAAUGGUCUCAGGACGAGGAUUGAAAC